CCUACGGGGGGCUGCAGUGGGGAAUAUUGGACAAUGGGGGCAACCCUGAUCCAGCCAUGCCGCGUGUGUGAAGAAGGCCCUCGGGUUGUAAAGCACUUUCAGUGAGGAAGAACGCCUGGUGGUUAAUACCCAUCAGGAAAGACAUCACUCACAGAAGAAGCACCGGCUAACUCCGUGCCAGCAGCCGCGGUAAUACGGAGGGUGCGAGCGUUAAUCGGAAUUACUGGGCGUAAAGCGCGCGUAGGUGGCUUGAUAAGCCGGUUGUGAAAGCCCCGGGCUCAACCUGGGAACGGCAUCCGGAACUGUCAAGCUAGAGUGCAGGAGAGGAAGGUAGAAUUCCCGGUGUAGCGGUGAAAUGCGUAGAGAUCGGGAGGAAUGCCAGUGGCGAAGGCGGCCUUCUGGACUGACACUGACACUGAGGUGCGAAAGCGUGGGUAGCAAACAGGAUUAGAUACCCUGGUAGUC
rnacentral:rRNA from 1 species